UAGGGAAUCUUCGGCAAUGGACGAAAGUCUGACCGAGCAACGCCGCGUGAGUGAAGAAGGUUUUCGGAUCGUAAAACUCUGUUGUUUGAGAAGAACAAGGACGUUAGUAACUGAACGUCCCCUGACGGUAUCUAACCAGAAAGCCACGGCUAACUACGUGCCAGCAGCCGCGGUAAUACGUAGGUGGCAAGCGUUGUCCGGAUUUAUUGGGCGUAAAGCGAGCGCAGGCGGUUUCUUAAGUCUGAUGUGAAAGCCCCCGGCUCAACCGGGGAGGGUCAUUGGAAACUGGGAGAAUUGAGUGCAGGAGAGGAGAGUGGAAUUGCAGGUGUAGGGGUGAAAUGCGUAGAUAUAUGGAGGAAGACCAGUGGCGAAGGCGGCUCUGUGGUCUGUAACUGACGCUGAGGAACGAAAGCGUGGGGAGCAAACAGG
rnacentral:rRNA from 1 species